GACGAACGCUGGCGGCGUGCUUAACACAUGCAAGUCGAACGGAAAGGCCUGCUUUCCCUUGUGGAUUGCGGGUACUCGAGUGGCGAACGGGUGAGUAACACGUGAGUGAUCUGCCCCCAACUUGGGUAUAAGCCUGGGAAACUGGGUCUAAUUCCCGAUAGGACUGCAGGGUGGUGCCUGUGGUGGAAAACGAUUUUCUAGUGGUUGGGGAUGAGCUCGCGGCCUAUCAGCUUGUUGGUGGGGUAAUGGCCUACCAAGGCGGCGACGGGUAGCCGGCCUGAGAGGGGGGACGGCCACAUUGGGACUGAGAUACGGCCCAGACUCCGACGGGAGGCAGCAGUGGGGAAUAGUGCACAAUGGGCGGAAGCCUGAUGCAGCGACGCCGCGUGGGGGAUGACGGCCUUCGGGUUGUAAACUCCUUUCGACCGCGAGGAAGCCACCUGGUUGGAAGGGUGGUGACGGUAGUGGUAGAAGAAGCACCGGCUAACUACGUG
rnacentral:rRNA from 1 species